rnacentral:rRNA from 1 species
AUAGCGUAUAUUAAAGUUGUUGCAGUUAAAAAGCUCGUAGUUGAACUUCAGCCUCUUGGCCGGGCGGUCUGCCUCACGGUAUGUACUGUCUGGCUGGGGCUUACCUUCUGGUGAGCUGGUGUGCCCUUUAUUGGGUGCGUUGGUGAACCAGGACCUUUACCUUGAGAAAAUUAGAGUGUUCAAAGCAGGCCUAUGCCCGAAUACAUUAGCAUGGAAUAAUAAAAUAGGACGUGCGGUUCUAUUUUGUUGGUUUCUAGAGUCGCCGUAAUGAUUAAUAGGGAUAGUUGGGGGCAUUGGUAUUGAGUCGCUAGAGGUGAAAUUCUUGGAUUGACUCAAGACCAACUAUUG